rnacentral:rRNA from 1 species
UAGGGAAUUGUUCGCAAUGGGCGCAAGCCUGACGACGCAACGCCGCGUGGAGGAUGAAGAUCUUCGGGUCGUAAACUCCUUUCGAUCGAGACGAAUGAUCCUGGGGUGAACAAUCCCGGGAAAUGACGGUACCGAGAGAAGAAGCCCCGGCUAACUCCGUGCCAGCAGCCGCGGUAAUACGGGGGGGGCAAGCGUUGUUCGGAAUUACUGGGCGUAAAGGGCUCGUAGGCGGCCAACUAAGUCAGACGUGAAAUCCCUCGGCUUAACCGGGGAACUGCGUCUGAUACUGGAUGGCUUGAGUGUGGGAGAGGGAUGCGGAAUUCCAGGUGUAGCGGUGAAAUGCGUAGAUAUCUGGAGGAACACCGGUGGCGAAGGCGGCAUCCUGGACCAUAACUGACGCUGAUGAGCGAAAGCCAGGGGAGCAAACGGGAUUAGAUACCCGCGUAGUCC